rnacentral:rRNA from 1 species
GGACUACUGGGGUAUCUAAUCCUGUUUGCUCCCCACGCUGUCGCGCCUCAGUGUCAGCUACUGCCCAGCAGGCCGCCUUCGCCACCGGUGUUCUUCCGGAUCUCUACGCAUUCCACCGCUACACCCGGAAUUCCGCCUGCCUCUACAGUGCUCCAGCCCAGCAGUUCGCACGGCCGACCCGGGGUUGAGCCCCAGGCUUUCACCGCACGCUGACCAGGCCACCUACGCGCCCUUUACGCCCAAUGAUUCCGGACAACGCUCGCACCCUCCGUAUUACCGCGGCUGCUGGCAC